UGCAAAUGAUGUUUUUUCUCACGAUGGUCUUCCAAGUCCUCUGGGCUCUGACGACAAUGCCUAAUGGCAAUACUGAUGUGGUUGA
ensembl:snoRNA